rnacentral:tRNA from 1 species
UCAGAAAAGUAAGACUUUAUACUUACACCAACAACUCCCAAAGCUAUUAUUCUAUCUAUAAACUAUUUUCUG